UGGGGAAUAUUGGACAAUGGGGGGAACCCUGAUCCAGCCAUGCCGCGUGUGUGAAGAAGGCCUUAUGGUUGUAAAGCACUUUAAGCGAGGAGGAGGGUACUGGUAUUAAUACUACCAGGUACUGGACGUUACUCGCAGAAUAAGCACCGGCUAACUCUGUGCCAGCAGCCGCGGUAAUACAGAGGGUGCGAGCGUUAAUCGGAUUUACUGGGCGUAAAGCGUGCGUAGGCGGCUAAUUGAGUCGGAUGUGAAAUCCCCGAGCUUAACUUGGGAAUUGCAUUCGAUACUGGUUAGCUAGAGUGUGGGAGAGGAUGGUAGAAUGCCAGGUGUGGCGGUGAAAUGCGUAGAGAUCUGGAGGAAUACCGAUGGCGAAGGCAGCCAUCUGGCCUAACACUGACGCUGAGGUACGAAAGCAUGGGGAGCAAACAGG
rnacentral:rRNA from 1 species